UACGUAGGGUGCAAGCGUUAUCCGGAAUUAUUGGGCGUAAAGAGCUCGUAGGCGGUUUGUCGCGUCUGCUGUGAAAACCCGAGGCUCAACCUCGGGCCUGCAGUGGGUACGGGCAGACUAGAGUGCGGUAGGGGAGAUUGGAAUUCCUGGUGUAGCGGUGGAAUGCGCAGAUAUCAGGAGGAACACCGGUGGCGAAGGCGGGUCUCUGGGCCGAUACUGACGCUGAGGAGCGAAAGCGUGGGGAGCAAACAGG
rnacentral:rRNA from 1 species